GAAGCCGGAAUUGCUGUAAUGGCAGGUCAGCAUACUGCCGUGAAUACGUUCCCGGGCCUUGUACACACCGCCCGUCACACCAUGAGAGUUGGGAAUACCCGAAGCCUGUGAGCUAACGUAAGAGGCAGCAGUCGAAGGUAGAAUCAAUGAUUGGGGUGAAGUCGUAACAAGGUACC
rnacentral:rRNA from 1 species